UAUUGUAUAAGGACCUGUCAGUUUUUUAUUGAUUACAAUCAAGAGAAACAAGCUUCAAAAUCCAAAACUCAACAAAGUAGAGCAAUUGAAAGACUUACAUUUUCAGUUUUGUGCUAUUGCCAAAAUGUAUGUUUGUAGUAUUGCUACAGCAACAUCAUAGUAUGGAAACAGAAAGACAGAAGAAAUAAAUAGAAAAAAAGAGACAGAAGUAAAAAAACAAAGAGAAGGGGUGAGAGGAGUAUUGUCUCAGCUACAGAUACAGUACAUCACAGUACAAACCAGCAGAAUGGCAUCAAAUACUGCAGUUAGUAAACUUCAACUUUGGUGUCAUGACAACAUGUCUGUCAGUCAUCAGUGAACAAACCUUAUUGUUAAUUAAGCACAUAUUCAGAUCAAAAUAGAAAGUACAUUUGACACACAUCAAUCAGCAGGCCCUGAAAUCUUAACAAAGACCAUGUUAAGGCUAGAAUAAAUCUGAUCACAGGUUGACGGCAGCCUAGCCCUGGAACUCUGAAGGUCCAAUUCAAACCCUGUAAAUAUCUUUCUAUUUAUCCAGCUGACGCCAGAACACCUACGAGCCCCAGCCCUAGCAAACACGGGAAGAGUUUUGGAUCCCUGUUGCAGACAGAAAACUACAAAUACUAUAGUAAGAUAAUUCUAAACAUCUCCAAGCCAAUCAUACAGGCCUGUUAAAAUACCAUCCAGCACAGCCAAACACUUGUUUUUUGUGCCCAGCUGCCAGUUAAGAGAACUCACUUGUUGCCCCCCAGGGGUAAAACAGUCCCAGACCCGAAGUUAAAUAUCAGCAGUGUUUCGUCCCUCCAGGACUGGAAUUGAAUUGCCCUGAAAAUAAAUACAAAGCCACUUGAUGCUCAAAGGAUCUGCCAUACCUAGAUGUUAGGUGAAGAUGCACCAGACAGUAAGAUGUGUUGGGAAACAACUCAACAUGGAAUACCAAACUAUUUGUGGUUUAUUACCACCAUCUGCAAAUAUGCGCUUAUUCAUUAACUACAUGAUUCAAGAACUGGUUCAGAACAGGGAAUACACCUAGUAAAACACAGCUCUGCCUUAACCACAAGGUGAAUUACCUAAAUCGCUGUUGAACCUGUUUAAGUUAUUAACGCUAAGAUAAGUAACAAUUCAAAGACAGGGUUGUGUUGUAGCCUACAAAAUCAAUGUCCAACUUGUACAUCUGAGGACAAAGAGCUUUUUACUUAGUGGACCAUGAAUGAAAUGAACAGAUGGGUCAGAACCCAGAAAUACAAACAAUAAAAUGAACAGAUGAGGUCAACAGUUGGGUCAGAACCCAGAAAUACAAACAAUAAAAUGAACAGAUGAAGUCAACAGUUGGGUCAGAACCCAGAAAUACAAACAAUAAAAUGAACAGAUGAAGUCAACAGUUGGGUCAGAACCCAGAAAUACAAACAAUAAAAUGAACAGAUGAAGUCAACAGAUGGGUCAGAAAAUGUGGGCAAAUUGAGGUCAUGUUAUUUCAAUAAAUAAUGUGUUGGGCUGGUGACAUUGGACAACACACUGCAAAUAUCCCUUGUGUCAUUAAUGGUUAUAAGUCCAGACAUCCUGGUCCUGGCCCGGUAGUUCUGGUAACCCAGGAGACGAUGUCUCUGUUAUCAAGUGUGUUACUACUCAUGGCUUGUUCACUAUGUGAGAUAGACAUGAUCCUCAUGAACACUUCACCUUCUGAUGGGUGUGACUGUGGUUUGAUUGUCCUCAGGUUAGUAGAGGUUGGUUUUCUGAGGGAACCUGUCUGUGAUCUUUUUCUACAGGACAUUUCCAUAGGAUGCUUUCCGUGCUUGGCAACACCUACGUACCCUACUCCACCUUACCCUACUCCACCUCCUCCAGAACAAUAAACACCUAUGUACCCUACUCCACCUCCCCCAGAACAAUAAACACCUACGUACCCUACUC
ensembl:lncRNA